UUUUAAAACGUUAAUGCGUUUUCGGUAUUACUUUACGAUUUCGGAUCCGUAUUGACGAGGAAAUAUAUAUUAUAUUUAAAUAUUAAUUAAUAUAAAUUUCGCAAUAAUCAUUAAAUGACGUACAAGCAACGUCACGGUUCGAGAUAACGGCUGGAAAAGAAAAGCAACAAAGAUAACCUUACUCUAGAAAUAAUCUACCCUAAACGGGUAGAUCAUCAUCUGUUCUCCGAAGGGCGUACGUUCUUCUACGCUAUUCUUGUCCGAUAUACGCAGCCGUCGCAGAUGCAGCGGCAAGAGAUCGAAAGAAAUUCGCAAUACGCUGAGAAACAGCGUGAUGAGAGGAAAGGAGGACGAAGGAGAGAAGAGGAGAGAAGGGUAGAGAAAAACUGCCCCGAACCCCUCGCCAACAGCUAUCAAAAGUCCCCUCACCCCCCCUCCCCUCCCCUCCCGUUUGGUUGGAUAGACGAAAACGAAGGGAAGUCAGAGAAAAAAUAAUCACCCUGGGAAGUGAAGGAUCGUAGGGAAGGGCGGGGAGGAGGACGAGAGACGGGAGGAGAACAGGAUGAAGAGGACAGGUAAGUGUGUAAGACGCGAGGCACAAAUGAGCGUAAGGGGCAAGGUACAAGGAGAGAGAGGGGGAGGGGGGGAGGGGGGCGCGCGCGCGGAAAGGAAUUCGAAAUGAGAAAUGACAUCGAAAUUGAAACGAUAUCUCUCGCAAGGUGAAAUUUGUUUGCGAAUCGUCGGUGUCGUUAAUCCUGUUAUUCGCGCGAUAAACAGAUAAGGAUGGAUAAAUUUUUUAAAAACGUAAAAAAAAACGAUAACGGAAUAACGGUGUGCACGCAGAUAAACGAGAGGAGGGAUUAAAUGGAGCAAUUCGUUCGAACUCGAGGAACUUGGAAAAAAUCGAUAUCUCCGCCAAGGGCGUGACCUCUGGGAGAGGAUAAAUGGAGCACUUGUUCGAUCGUAGGAAAUAUUUGGAAUUUAUUUGCAAUUCUCAGGCAACGAUAUUACAGGCCAAGACAGAUGAUAAUGAUUUUUGCAACAAUUCUAGGGCAAGGACAAAAAAUGGGGUGGGUAAUCCCUUCCUAACCUGGUAGAUAUUUUACAUACUCUUACAUGUGAUACGUCGAAAAUAUUAAAAUCAGUUUUUUCUUCUUUUUUUUUUUUUUCAUAUUGAAAUUGCAAAAUUUAAUCGUUAACCGAAAGGUGAAGGUCGAUUCUCUUUACGAUUCUGUACUUCUGUACUGAUUUAUUAUAUGUUUAUUAAGUAGAUAUACCGUUAAUGCACCCAUUGGAAAAAAAUAAACAUACCGGAUUGUCUAAAUUCAUUCCGAAUUUACGAAAAAAGAAAUCUCUCCUAAUGUCUUCGUACCAGAUGUUAAAUAACAAAGCAGCCAGUGAUUUAUUGUUAUAUUGGUGCUUAGGUAUCGAUCAUUUUUAACUACUAGGGAUUAGAAGAAAUAUAUUUCUCCAAUAAUUAACCGAACGAAACAAAUAAAAUAAAAUAUGACCAUGGUUCAAUAUAAUCUAAAGUAGCUACGUAUACCUGUUCCGAAUACCGUUUCUGAAUAGUUUAAUUUCUCGUUCGCUUGUUGUAAGACAGUUUACGCCCGAAAUUAUCGAUUAGCCGAACGAAAAUUAUAAAACGAGUCGAAAUCAAUUGUAUUACAAUUUGUAUCCUUUACUUUUAAUUUUACACAAAAUAAAAUAUAUUAAUAAUAUCUCGUAUAUUAAUAACAUCUUAGAUGGAAAAGGAGCGAUUGACAUGGAUAGAUAGGUCUGAAACGGAGGCAUGGAGGAAUGAAUAGCAUUAAAACCGUGAACGGCAUAAAGUUUCCGAGAACGGACAGUGUCGGUAAAUCAAGACCUUAGAACACGGCCAACUCUUAUCGACGUUCAACCGCAACCGAAAUAUCGCAACGAUAUCUCGCUCUCUUUUUCCUCGUUUCGCUCGUCCGUUGCUUUUAUCACCCAAUCAUCUGUCUCCCUCUCUCUCCCUCUCUCUGUCUCUCUCUCUCGCUUUCUCCCACUCCAGCCGUUCUCCUCUCUUCCUCUACUUACUACUCUUUAUUCGCUACAUCCUUCUUCUCUGGUCUAUCUUUUUUAACGUUAUCAAGAAUCUCUCGGCCGAUGCUGAACCGGUAUCCAGACGUGAGAAGUAAGCACGUAUGAGAGAAAAAGGAAGUGGGAGAGAAGGAAAAAAAAAUUAAAACAAACAUCGCACAAUAAUAAUAGAAGAGAAACGUACGUAACGCUUGAACAAUCGUGUAAUACACAACGGGUAAUUGAUAUACCGACCGAAACUGUCGUUUCGCGACAUCAUUGAUUAUUUACGUACGAGUAAAGCUCGUGUAACAGCUGCACCCGUACGUGUACACCGUAUAUCGCAACAGCAAGCGGUAUUAGACAAUACAGUGCCCUCAUGGGGGAGGCCCAAAAGUGUUAUAUGGGGGCGUGUAACGCUUCCUACUCCAAUGCCAAAAUUCGAAUGGAACGCUCGAACGAACCGAUUUCCUUCCUAUGCGCAGCGUAGGAUCGAUAUUCGAAAAAGAGAAGAGAGAGAGAGAGAGAGAAGCUUUCAACGAACUUGGCCGCGCGUUUACAUAUCUCGCGUUUAUAUUCGAGCGAUCGAACGAAUGAACAUCGUCUCUCCCCUGCGUCCACAUUCCACGUGUUUCCCGGUUCACCAUCGGUCUUCUCGCUCUCCCCAUCCGGUCCCCAAAAACUUUCUCACCAGCUGUUUUUGGUGAACGGCACGCAUUGCAAAUAAAAAUAAGACGAGAAACGUAACAAAAAGCGUACAAGCGAACGCGAGUACUUAAAGUUUUCGUCGAUUCCUUUGACAGUUAACCGAUUUCUCUUCCGUGUGUCCCUUCGAAAGGAAUUUCCAUUCCACGAGAAAGAAUAAGACAACAAUUCCACUUUGCCGCGAAUUUGUAAAUUUGGCUCGCGAGAUAUAUGUUGUGUAUCGUUUGAGACAGAGAGAGAGAGGAGAGAGAAGGAGGAGAAAAAAAAAAAAGAGGCGAGAUGAGAAACGAAACGAAAAAGAACUAUGGUCGAACGGCGUAGACGGUCAAAGCGGCGGCGAGACGAUGAGUUUCUCCUCGUCCCGCACGCAGGAAGGUUGCCGUUCCCAGGCCGGGAGACUCUUCUCUCCGUCCACCCAGAGAGGAAUUUAAAUCUCAACGGUCGGUCGUGGUCUUUCAUAGUGGGGAGAGGCGACACCGCUGAGGUUCGCGACGGUGCGCGGGAACCAGAAGAAGAAAAGAGAAAAAGAGAGGGCCGACGGUAGGGGGGCGCGCGCCCGUUCUCGUGUAUUCCUGUGCGUCUGUGCGGCCGAGAGAGGGGUGCAACCGUGGCGCGGAGAGAGACGAGAGAGGAGAGGAGAAGGAAAAUGAGAGAGGGAGAGAGAGAGGAGAGGAGAGAACAACCACCCAUGGAACUGUUUUGCCGCGUCUCGAUCUCGGGAUCCAGACUUGCUGCUCUCGUUCCCGUUCUCGUUUCCUCGGUGUCGGCUUCGACAACCCCACGACACGACUUCGGCUUCAACCCCAGGGAAAAAGAAACUUAACAUUGAACCGACCGACCAUCCGAUGGAUACACCAAUGCACAAGGUAUAUAUCGUAUUGUACGAACAGAGAGAGAGAGAGCCACGAGAGAGAAGUGGAGGCACGGGGAUCAGCGGAUCCGGGAACGGGAAUAGGGGACAUGGAGACAGGAAUGCCAGUUAAGGGAGAAGAGCUACUAAACGAGAGAGGAUAAGAAAUAUCGGAGAAACGAAGAAGUCGUACUCGUGGAUAUUAAUCGUUCUGGGAAGGAGAGGAACGAGGAAGGAGGAGGGAAAAGGAGGCACCGAAGGACGGAAAGCGCGGCACACUUGUUUACAAACAAUAAAGCGAAGACGGCCAAGGUAUCGAUGCAUGUGUUUUGAAGGGCAUCCGUGCGAAAAAUAACGAACGAGAACGAACGAGUCCCGUAAUAUUCCGUAAUAUUCGACUUGUUUCGAGCAGCAGCAAAGAUGAAGUAUAGCGGAGCGAAAAUUUGAGAAAAUUUAUCGAUAUAUAUUCCCGUAUACAUUGUGGCACUAUUUUCCAUAAAAAGGGAAACGAGGUGUAAUCGGUUCGAUCCGAUCUCUCGAACGAACCCCGUGGUUUACAUCGUAAACCACAUUCGAAUGUAAAUUUACAUCAUACGCCUACGUAACCACGUCCUCCCCUCCCCAUUUGAAUAUUUUCGUUUAUUCGAGAUGUGGAAUGUUUCCCUGUUAAGCCGUGCGCUUAAUAACACGGUCGGCAUUAUACGACCCCUGCUAAUGGUUCAAUUUCUUUAGGCCGGUUCUAAUAUAUGCCACAGCUUUUCUAACAUUCCGACAAAGCAAUUUACCACCCAUACACCGUGCGAGACCAACACCACGGAAGCUUAAAAACCUUCUUUAAUAUCUCCCACCACCGGGUUAUCCAUUCCUGGCUUUGCUUCUCCUCUCUUCCGCCGCUUCAACCUUUAGUUUCUUUCAAACCGACAACGAUAGUUCUCUUCGACCCGUUCUUUGCCGUUCUCGUAAACCUCGACCUUCCUAGAAAGAUGUCCUUUGCUCUUUUCCGAUAUACGUACUACUACUUCCUUGCACGGAUCCGUCCGUCGAGGAUCUCGAAUUGAAAAACUUUUCGCACGAGGGGGGGGGAUAUAAAAUAAAGAAACGUUAAAGAUAAGUCGUCGAUUCUUCCUCUUUCUCUCUUCUUCUCCAGAUUUGUUGAAGGAAUCGAGCGGAUCUCAAGGGUGAAAAUUUGACACGACGAUGUUGUUUAUAACCUAACGUAAAGUUUCUCACGCUAGCUCAGUUGCCAUGAGAGAAUGCGAGAGACCGCGGCGUUCGAAGGCCGCCGAUUCCAAUUGUUCGUUUUGCGCAUCGUGCGAAACCGCCUCUACUAGAACACGGUUCAGAUUCUCGAUGCAGAUCUCGAUUCGCAAAUGAAUUUUAUUGAAACCGAUUUCAACCGACCGGCAUUCGGUAUUCGGUAAUCGCAGAUAAAAUAUUGCGUGAGUUUUCUGGACGCUUAUGUAAGAGACGCUUCAGUUGGUUGAUUGGUGUGCGAACGAGAGACAGACACGGACGGAGGGAGGGAGGGAGGGAGGGCGGAAAGGAGGAGGAGGUGGAGGAGGAGGAGGAGGGGAGAUAGAGAAGGGGAAGCGAGAAUAGCGGGUGAAAGAAGGCGUAAUGUAGGAGGGAAAGAAAAAAAAAU